AUUCCAGCUCCAAUAGCGUAUAUUAAAGUUGUUGCAGUUAGAACGCUCGUAGUCGGAUUUCGGGGCGGGGCGACCGGUCUGCCGAUGGGUACGCACUGGUCGGCGCGUCCUUCCUUCCGGAGACCGUGCCUACUCUUAACUGAGCGGGGGCGGGAGACGGAACGUUUACUUUGAAAAAAUCAGAGUGUUUCAAGCAGGCAGCUCGCUCUUGCAUGGAUUAGCAUGGGAUAAUGAAAUAGGACUUUGGUGCUAUUUUGUUGGUUUCGAACACCGAAGUAAUGAUGAGAAGGGACAGUCAGGGGCAUUUGUAUUCGACCGAGAGAGGUGAAAUUCUCAGACCAGUCGAAGACAAACUACUGCGAAAGCAUCUGCCAGGGAUGUUUUCAUUA
rnacentral:rRNA from 1 species